rnacentral:rRNA from 1 species
AGGGUUAACGCUGGCGGUGCGCAUAACACAUGCAAGUCGAGCGAGGGCUUAUUUCCCGCAAGGGAGAUGAGUUCCUAGCGGCGAACGGGUGAGUAACACGUGGGUAACCUUUCCUAUCGCGGGGGAUAACACCGGGAAACCGAUGCUAAUACCGCAUGUCGUCACUGGUCUCCUGGCUGGUGAAAAAAGCAGCAAUGCACGAUGGGGUGGGCCCGCGGUCUAUCAGCUAGUCGGUGGGUAACGGCCUACCGAGGCGAUGACGGGUAGC